rnacentral:rRNA from 1 species
UACGUAGGUGGCAAGCGUUGUCCGGAUUUAUUGGGUUUAAAGGGUGCGUAGGCGGUUUAUUAAGUCAGUGGUGAAAGCCCGGAGCUCAACUUCGGAACUGCCAUUGAUACUGAUAGACUUGAGUACAGAUGAAGUGGGCGGAAUGUGACAAGUAGCGGUGAAAUGCUUAGAUAUGUCACAGAACACCGAUUGCGAAGGCAGCUCACUAAAGUGUAACUGACGCUGAGGCACGAAAGCGUGGGGAUCAAACAGG